rnacentral:rRNA from 1 species
GACGAACGCUGGCGGCGUGCUUAACACAUGCAAGUCGAGCGGUAAGGCCCUUCGGGUACGACGAGCGGCGAACGGGUGAGUAACACGUGGGUGACCUGCCUCUAGCUCUGGGAUAAGCCUGGGAAACUGGGUCUAAUACCGGAUAUGACUCCACGGCGCAUGUUGUGGGGUGGAAANCCUUGUGUGGCUAGAGAUGGGCCCGCGGCCUAUCAGCUUGUUGGUGGGGUGAUGGCCACCAAGGCGACGACGGGUAGCCGGCCUGAGAGGGCGACCGGCCACACUGGGACUGAGACACGGCCCAGACUCCUACGGGAGGCAGCAGUGGGGAAUCUUGCGCAAU